AUUUUUCCCCUAAUACCAAUAAUCCUUAUUGUAGCUUGCUUCGUCCAGGUUCAUCUCCUCCACGUCCGUCUCUGCGGUUUGCCAGCAUCCUGGAGCCCCUUCUCUCACUCCCCGAUCCCCGUGGUUCCUCUCUCACCCUCACUCCAGUCAUCCCGCUGCAGUUGGGAAAGAUGCCCCGGGUAGGUCGUUUCACGAAGAAAGCCUAUGUAGACAUAGCAUGUCAGCAGCCUCAAGUGGGAGGUCAUGGGCUUCAACUUCGCAGAGAGCAGACUGCCAAUUCCGCCGUCCAGUGGCAGUAGUUCCUCCACAUCCUCGUCUUUACGCCCCUUUCGUCCGCCCUGAACCGAACCACUGCCUGCUCCAUAGGCUUCCAUGAAUGAUGUUCAAAACUCGGAACCGGACGUCGAAGAGGUAGACCCAGAGGCAGAUGAGGUAGAUUCUUUUGACCAACAUGUUGAUAAUCUUUUUGCUGCAUCGGAUGCUCAAAAGCGCAAGGGACGCAAGACCACAGAAUUUUGGGAUGUUAAAAUAAUUGAAUCCGAUGGCACAAUCAAACAUGUCAAACUGAGUGUGAAGGAAGCUAUGAAACCACCUAACGGAAGAAAGGUUGUACUCAGGUUUAACAGUGCACUGCAACCAAUUGG